GGAGAGAGGGAGAGGGAGAGAGAGAGAGAGAGAGAGAGAGAGAGAGAGAGAGAGGGGGAAUACUCCCUUGUUACUCCUGUCAAACACUCGUUGCUAAGGACCCGGUGAAAUACAGCGGCCCCGACUCCAGGUCCCCUAAGUUGGCGGCAUGAGCGCCAGCACAGUCACCGUGGGUCUGCGGAGUGUCGACUGACGACAGGUGAGAGACCCUCAACGAUCCGCCGGAGCCCCAGCAGAGCCCCCCUGUCCCGAGCUCAGUGGUGCCCACCCGGCAGAGCCCGGGGCUGGGAU
ensembl:lncRNA